rnacentral:rRNA from 1 species
UCCAGACUCCUACGGGAGGCAGCAGUGGGGGAUAUUGCACAAUGGGGGGAACCCUGAUGCAGCGACGCCGCGUGAGUGAGGAAGUAUCUCGGUAUGUAAAGCUCUAUCAGCAGGGAAGAAGAAAGACGGUACCUGAGUAAGAAGCCCCGGCUAACUACGUGCCAGCAGCCGCGGUAAUACGUAGGGGGCAAGCGUUAUCCGGAUUUACUGGGUGUAAAGGGAGCGUAGACGGUAUGGCAAGUCUGAAGUGAAAGCCCCGGGCUCAACCUGGGAAUUGCUUUGGAAACUGUUAAACUAGAGUGCUGGAGAGGCAGGCGGAAUUCCUAGUGUAGCGGUGAAAUGCGUAGAUAUUAGGAGGAACACCAGUGGCGAAGGCGGCCUGCUGGACAGUAACUGACGUUGAGGCUCGAAAGCGUGGGGAGCAAACAGGAUUAGAUACCCGGGUAA